rnacentral:rRNA from 1 species
GACGAACGCUGGCGGCGUGCUUAACACAUGCAAGUCGAACGGUAAGGCUCCAGCUUGCUGGGGUACACGAGUGGCGAACGGGUGAGUAACACGUGGGUGACCUGCCCUGCACUUCGGGAUAAGCCUGGGAAACUGGGUCUAAUACCGGAUAGGACCACACCGUGAGGGUGUGGUGGAAAGUUUUUUCGGUGUGGGAUGGGCCCGCGGCCUAUCAGCUUGUUGGUGGGGUAAUGGCCUACCAAGGCGGCGACGGGUAGCCGGCCUGAGAGGGUGGACGGCCACAUUGGGACUGAGACACGGCCCAGACUCCUACGGGAGGCAGCAGUGGGGAAUAUUGCACAAUGGGCGGAAGCCUGAUGCAGCGACGCCGCGUGGGGGAUGACGGCCUUCGGGUUGUAAACUCCUUUCACCAUCGACGAAGGGUUUCUGACGGUAGAUGGAGAAGAAGCACCGGCUAACUACGUGCCAGCAGCCGCGGUAAUACGUAGGGUGCGAGCGUUGUCCGGAAUUACUGGGCGUAAAGAGCUCGUAGGUGGUUUGUCGCGUCGUCUGUGAAAUUCCGGGGCUUAACUCCGGGCGUGCAGGCGAUACGGGCAUAACUUGAGUACUGUAGGGGAGACUGGAAUUCCUGGUGUAGCGGUGAAAUGCGCAGAUAUCAGGAGGAACACCGGUGGCGAAGGCGGGUCUCUGGGCAGUAACCGACGCUGAGGAGCGAAAGCAUGGGGAGCGAACAGGAUUAGAUACCCUGGUAGUCCAUGCCGUAAACGGUGGGCGCUAGGUGUGGGUUUCCUUCCACGGGAUCCGUGCCGUAGCUAACGCAUUAAGCGCCCCGCCUGGGGAGUACGGCCGCAAGGCUAAAACUCAAAGGAAUUGACGGGGGCCCGCACAAGCGGCGGAGCAUGUGGAUUAAUUCGAUGCAACGCGAAGAACCUUACCUGGGCUUGACAUAUACAGGAUCGCGCCAGAGAUGGUGUUUCCCUUGUGGCUUGUAUACAGGUGGUGCAUGGUUGUCGUCAGCUCGUGUCGUGAGAUGUUGGGUUAAGUCCCGCAACGAGCGCAACCCUUGUCUUAUGUUGCCAGCACGUUGUGGUGGGGACUCGUAAGAAACUGCCGGGGUUAACUCGGAGGAAGGUGGGGAUGACGUCAAAUCAUCAUGCCCCUUAUGUCCAGGGCUUCACACAUGCUACAAUGGUCGGUACAGUGGGUUGCCAGUCCGUGAGGGCGAGCUAAUCCCGCAAAGCCGGUCUCAGUUCGGAUCGGGGUCUGCAACUCGACCCCGUGAAGUCGGAGUCGCUAGUAAUCGCAGAUCAGCAACGCUGCGGUGAAUACGUUCCCGGGCCU